rnacentral:lncRNA from 1 species
UACAAGGGGUCUACCAGGUGCCUCCUCUGGCAGUGGGAACAUAUGAAGAAUCUGAACAGGGACCAGAGGGGAGCAGUAAACCAGUGGGUCAAAAGCAUAUUCAGUGCUUAGGUGGACUUUAAAUGUGCUGCUCUUCUCUCUAACUUGAAAGUUACCAGGCACUGACUUCAGCGUACUUCCCUUCCCUGUGCCAGUGAGGUUUCCUGUACCACUGAAGAAAACAUACUGUGGGAGAAGGGCAGAAGGAACCAUGUUCAGACUGACUUCUUUGGCCUGACAUAAGGAAGCACUAAGGAUUUUUCUACUUCUCUGGCAUGCUGGAAGAUGCAUUCUGGGCAAAGGAGACAACAUAGAAGAAUCACUGUAGGAAAAAAGAGAAAUAA